CCUUGCUCCCCCUUGGUCCCAAUUCAUAGGAACUUACCCCAGGAAGGAACCCCCUACUCCUGGUGCUACAUUCUUGGUUCAGUCGGCAGGAUUCAGCGCAGCCAAAGGUCCACCCCGGUGGGUGUGAAGCCUCAGUGGGCUGUCCCAACGGGUGUCUGGGAGACACUUGGGGACCCAUCUAGGGAUGGUGGGGAGGCACCCAGGAGUCCCCCAGCUUGGAUGUAAUUUGUGGUGGCUUCAUCCCUAGGCUAUUGGGCACCUGAGGCUGUGGAGUUGGCCCUCCACUAUAUAGGGGACUCCUUGGGGGAACAGUGCCCGUGCCAUAGUGGGAACCGUGGGUUGGAUGUUUCUCAGCGUUUGGGAGGGCUACUGAAGAGAGAGACUCACUUCAGGAAGUGGCAGAACAAGAAUGCAAGUGGUGAUAUGAGGAAGGAAACUGGUAAAAACCGAGAGAGUGCUGCUGAGAGGUUACUAAUGGUACGGGAAGGGGCAGGAGGAGAACGCACACGGCGAGAGGCUUGGGGGAGGUGAGGGUUGGGCUCUUUGGCCCCAGAAGUGGUAGGAGAGAUGUUAGGGGACAAAGAGUUCAGGAAGGAUGAGGCUGUGGCACCAGAGGCACCACUGGAGGCACCAGCCCCUCCCACGUGCAAGUGCAUUGAAAGCCUCCACAGUUGUAGUAAAAGUAAAAAUGCAAUACCAGUGGGUCCCUCAGGGGGAGAUGCAGCCCCCUCCCCAGGCUGUGGAGCCCCAUGUUCUUUUCCCCAUACCUGUGCUGAACUGGUGGAUUUGAGCUCCCCGAUGUCUGCAAAAGCUCUCGGAGGCUCUGUCAACUGGCUUUUUUGCCUUUGGGAAGCAGGAUAGAUGGAAUUACUCCAUCUGGGUCAGAAAUAGGAAAACUGGCUUCCCGGGUGACUCACCCUUUUGGCAGAGAUUACGAAAUGAUUUUCAGACCCCAGGAACUAUGGCAUUCUCAACUGGAACACUGGUGCUCAGUGCCAUGUGGCCUAAUCAGGGUGAUUUGCUGUCUUUCCAUCUAGAUGGCAGAUGUCUGUUGAUCUACAGGUGUUACGGGAGUUGGUCAUGAAGAAUAUCAAUAACAUGGAGUAUAAAUGUCCAGACGUGGAGUUGCUCAUAAUGGAAAUGAGGAGUCCGGUUCUUCAAUUGGCCCCCCAUCCCUCUUUAGGUCCCUAGUGGCUGUUCUUGCCCCUCACUUAGAGCCGCCCAAAGAUGAGGUUAUUCAUACUGUAGCAGAUCACGAAGAGGCUGAAACAAUGAGACCAUGGAAGGAAAUAUGGUGUACUGCUGAGAGAUGUCUUCGUCAGUACCUGUGAAGUCCUUGACUCAGAUGUGGCUUUGUCUGAUAAAGAUGGGGGCAGUGGAAGUGAAAUUAGAAGGGCAGCCCCAAUAAAGUCUUGCUAGAGCUGUAGUUCCAGCUGUUAAGGUCCAAGACAUGGAAAAUGGAGGCAAAGCCACAUGCCUGGCCUCUGUGUCUGCAAGACUUCCUGGGGGAGAGUACUCUGACCCCACCCAGACGCACCCAGGAAGAUGACUGGGCAUUGCAGUUUGACAGGAGGGAUGACAAGGACCCUACUUGAGGGAAAUGUUGGGGACCAGAGGCCACGUGUCUAAUUAGCAAUUCAUCAGUCCCGAGUGAAUGUGCAGUGUACCCUGGCACCAGCGGACCCCAGAGUUGAAUGCUGUCCUAUUAUGGCAACCCUGAGUGGUUUCCUGGGUCCCUGCUGUGAGAGAUGGCUACAGGGAUAAGGCAAUUAGAGUGAAGAAAGCCCAAAUCCCAUGGGAGUAAGGCACCUCUCACAGAGGAGUAACCUGUGUCUAUCUCUACUACACCUGAAUAUAUCUUGGGGUGGACAUCCUGCAGGGCCUGUGGUUACCAAUACUGCAGGUGAGUUCAGACUGAGGGUACGUGUGGUAAAGACAGUUCUGAGAAGACAUGCUACACACCCGCCUAUAGCAUUUCCUGUUCCUGACUGGGUGACAAAUACUAAGCAUUAUAAAUUGCCCGGGAGACAUAAAUAAAUUGGAAAGACUCUACAGGAGCUGGAGAAGGAAAGAAUACCAGGAACAAUUUGUUUUCAUGUGGGAAGGUUGGCAGUGAGCAUUCACUGUCCUUCCAAAGGGAUACCUCCGUAAUCCCACCGUCUGUCAUGGACUCGUAGCCCAGGACUUGGCAGCAUGGGAGAAACCGCCAACGGUGAGGCUGUAUCACUACAUUGAUGAUAUGCUCACGUCUGAUUCUCUUGAAGAUCGACAAGGGGCAUUUCCUAGACGGCUGCAACAGCACCGAGGUUCAGGGACCUGGUUUGUCAUGAAGUUCCUGGGGGUUGUCUGGUCAGAUACGACUUAAGUAUCCCAGAAGUGAUCAUAGACAAGGUCCAGGCAUUCCCUACCCCUACCACUGUGGCAGCAUUACAAGAGUUUUUGGAUAUCUUGACCUGCUGGAGGGAGUUUAUCCCACACUUGGCACAAAUUCUGAAGCCUUUAAACAGGUUUGUACAAAAUGCCUUCAGGUGGGACUGGGGUGAGAUGUGUGCAUUUGCCUUUGCUGCUGCUAAGCAGCAAGUCAAGGCUGUGCCCACCUUGAGUGUGAUGGACCCAACAAUGCUCUGUGAGCUAGAUGUUCAUGUAACUGAAGAUGGUGGCCUCUAGCGGUGGCUUGAACAGACCCACCAACCUUUUGGAUUCUGGUUGCAAUUUUGGAAAAUGCAGGUCCAGAUCACGUUGGUAGAGAAGCAACUGACUGCUGUGCACCACGCCUUUCUGGCUAUGAAGCCCAUCAGUGGAACAGGCCUGACACCAAUAAUGACAUUGUAUUCCAUAAUUGGAAUUAUGGUGAGGUGAGGGCAGAACUGGACCAAAAGGCCACAGAGUGGCAUGACACAGAUGCUGAAACUGGCCAAAUGGGAUGCAUAGUUACAGCAGCAUAGCACCCUCUCAACUAGCCCCUGGAGUGGAGAGCUCCAACGCUACUUGGGGCCAGUGACAUUUACCAGUCAAAAGCAGGAGGAAUUUGCUUUGAAUCUAUUAGUAACAAAGACCACUUAUCAGAAGGAAAGAGCCCCUGUACCCGAAGAUUCAUGGUACACAGCUCCAGCCAUGUGCAGUCCUCGAAGUGGAGGGCUGUGGGUCUCCAUCCUGAGACUGAGACAAUAUGGAUGGAGGAUGGGAAAGGGAAGAGCAGCCCAUGGGCAGUAUGACUCAUGAACCCCCAGGAGCCCUCCCCAGUACUUGUCUGCACGAGGAGCUAUGCCAUCUAUUAGGGCUCCUGAUGUGGUACCAUGCCAAGUGGAUUGUUGUUCACCAGCCCCUUUUGGGGAAAGAAUUGUGGCAAGACUUAUGGGCCUCUGGUCAGACUAAAAUAGUCUCGGUAUGUCACGUGACAGGCCAUUUGCCUUUGGCUUCCCUAAGGAGCAGUGAGGUAGACACACGGGCUGAGGUACAUUGGCUAGAUGAAAAGCCUGCCUCUGAAGUGGCCCAAUGCUUACAACAACGUUUAUUGCAUGCCAGACAAAAGACAGCGUGGGCUGUAGCCUGUCAAUGGGGCCUGCCUUUGACCUUGAAGUCAGUAGAUCCCAGCAGGAGUGCCUUUUGUGCUGUAAGAGGAAUUUGCAAUGAGUUCCACAGCAAUAUGGGGCAAUGGUUAAGGGGCUGAUACCCCUCAUCAAGUGGCAAAUAGAAUAUAUUGGGUCUCCACCCAUAUCAGAAGGUUAUCAAUAUGCUAUGACUUGUGUGGACACAGCCACUGGACUGUUGGUUGCUUUUCCUACAUGUCGUGCAGAACCACCAAAAGGGGCCUGGAGCAUCUCUUUGCAGCCUAUGGCCGGCGGCAGGUGAUUGAGAGCAAUCAAGGCACCCACUUUACUGGACAUGCAUUACAAGAACAGUCCUUGCCCAGUGAGGAAUAAGCAUCUACAUUCUGUGUUUCACUCAGAGGAAAGAUGCCGAGGUAACAUAAAGAUCAACUCCAUUCAGAACCUUCUCACAUCCCCAAGGAUGGACGGAGACCCAGGGAAGACUUUUGGACCCCAGCAGGUUAUGUCUUUAUCUUUCUUAGAAAUAGUCUUUCCCAUGUAUAAUUACUCCACUCUGUUGCUUUACAUCACUUAUAUUGCACUUUUUAAAUUUGUUAGAACAUCUUAUGUUUGCCUUAAUUCUUCUGUGUGGACUUCUUAAAGUGUAUUUUUCUUUUAAUUUAAUGCUGUUCUGUCAUAAAAAUGUAAAUAAGCCAUACUUUUUACACAUUAGUUGGCAUUAUAAGUUUUAUUAUGCAAUGUUUUGUAAACAUGAAUAUUCUAAAAUAUAAGAAAUAGAUUACAAAAAUACAUAAAUCACAAAGAUAGAUUUGUCAUCUAAUUACUGUUUAUAGUGCUUAACUCAUGCCUUUACAUUUUUGUCUAAUGCAUAUAUUGUGAUCUUAAAAGUCUUAACACUGAACCCUGCUUCUAAUAGCUUUCAAGGUAACCGUCACUGACGAUGAUACCUGCGAUUAGUUACAUGCAGUAAGGAAGUCAGAUUUUUAUGAAUUUUACUUUCAAUCCUCUGUAGAGAAAACAUGGAAAAAUAUUCAUGAUUAGGUUUUCUGUAAAAUUCUGAGCCUGUGUUAGUGAAUAUGGUGGAGCUGAUGGAAUGCUACAUAUUUUGAAUAAGUAUCAUUUAUCUUUCUCUAAUUUGAGUGUGACAUGCUUGAUGGAAACAGUGAUUAUAUCCCCAUUGAAAAUAUCUGUUCUCUAUUGAUCAUGGUGAGCAAUUUUCCCUCACAAAAUUAGGGAAUGAGACUUUAAGGAAAAUGAACUUCACACUUGAGGACUGAAGAUGGCAGACACAAAAUCAAGUAUUUCAUUCAAUAUUUUUCAUGGCCAAAUAUACCAUAUAAUUUUUUGUUGUUUAAAAAUUCUCUGUUAUUUCCAACUGUCUUCCAUUUCAAACUUUUAAAUGCACAUGACCCUAUACCUCCAAAUUCCGUUUCACAUACUUUUCUUGUAUUUUAAUCUCUUUUCCAAAUCACACAAUAAGUGGUGUUCAGGGUUUUUUUUUCUAAAAUAAUGGGCAGAUAAUUUUAUGCUCUCAAAUAAGGAUUAAUUUAGUUUCUACCAUGAGUAUUUUAUCACUUUUUUGUCUUUCAUACCCAGUAGCUUAGAGGACACUCCAAUGUCAUUGUACAAUAACUUAAUGUGGUGGGAACCCUAGGCAAGAAAUGAAGUAUUUCUGUCUCUAUCCUAAUAUUGAUCCAUAUUCAGUAACUCCAAUUUGGUCAUGAUAAAUUACUCAGAGCUUCUGUAUUUUAUCAACAGCCCCAAAUCUGUCUUCACAAGGGAUUUUGGUACACAGAAUAAAACAGACAACAAUGGAAAUUAUCACAAAAUUAGAAAAUAAAAUACAUAUAAAGAAUGACAAAGUAUACAUAUAUUUGAGUUAUUUAAAGAACACAACCGAGGUUCUAUUAUCUAGCAGAGCGGUAACAAUAAUUUCAUUGCAUCCAGGCUACCCUAGUUCAAAUCCAGACUUUGCCAAUACUUACGUGAGUCAUUUAAAUGCCCUGUGGUAUAUUUUCCAGAUAUUUAAAAGAAUAAGAGUAGUGCCUAAAUCUUAGUAUUGUGUAUAUUAAAUUAUUUAGAACAUGUAAAACACCCAUAACAGUGACUCAUUCAUUGUAAAGGCUAUAAAAAGAAACACAUUGAACUUGGGAAGUUUCUUUUAAAUGAAAUAUCUUUUAGAAAGAAAUUACUGAGGAGAGAGAAAAAAAGAUGGUGGUAUAGGAAGGCAAAGAAAAAACCUCCUCCCAAAAUCACAUAGAACAUGAAAAUACAGCGAAUACAACCAGGCCUGAAAUCAACUUGAAGACUGCAGAACUGACCACCGACCUCUGGGGAAGAAGAGAGACCCUACAGAAGAGGGUAAAGUGACAGAGCCUUGAUCCAGGGAGACACAAGCCCACCGCCCACCCCAGCCCACGGGAGGGUGGAGGCAGAAUAGAGCGGGGAGGGAACAGAAGCCCAGGUCCCGGAACACAGGGACACAGGUCUCUUGCGGCCCUGGAGAUCUGGUCCAGGAACACAAGCCCACGUUGCAUGGUGCCUGGUGAUUUGUGGAGCUGGACAACAGAGAUGGGUGGUACACUUGGAGAGGCUGAGAUCCCAGCUGCCUGUAGGGAACAGGCGCACUCUACCGGCCCCCCUGAGUGGGCAGUUGAAAAGACUUCCCAGCAGUGAGAGGGGCACCAGAGGGGCAAGGAUUGCACAGGGCCUUCUGUUUAAGAGAAAGAUCAGGUGGACAAUACGUCCCCAGCCCACCCUCAGCCCAACAGCCUGGGAGCCCUCAGGAGCUUCAGGUGCUCUGACCUCCUUGCUGGCAACACAGCCCACAGUCUCCUCACAGUGGUGUGUGGCCUUCUGGACAGCAGUAAAGAUAAACUUUACUCUCAUGUAUGCACGGAGAGAACACCCAGCCUGCUCAGCCCUUUUUGGGCCAGCCAGGGAGCUGCAUUUAAAAGCCAGCCCUGGGAGCUCUUUCCUCCUGGCAGGCACUGCACCCGCUUGCAUCAGAGCAGUACACCAUUAUCAAGGCAGACAGGUGCUGUAUCCACUGCAUGCUAACAGCUGGGGCUCCCACACAGGAGACUCAGCUUCUGGGCCCUGCACGGUGCCUCCUACACAACUCUGUUGUCUCAUAAGAACUCCCCACCAAAAAAUGAAGAGACAGAGGAAUUUGGUCCAAACAAAAAUUUAAGAAAAAAAUGCCAGAAAGAGUGUUACUGAAACAAGUCACCAAUCUUCUUGAUAAAUAAAAGUCAUAAACAUUCUAAUGGAGUUACAGGUAAAUAUUUAAGAUCUCUGGGAGGACUUCAACAAAAAGAGAAAAUUUGAAAAAUACAGUAUCUGAAAUGAAACAUACAAUGGUUUAAAAGUAGAUUAGAUGACGUACAGCAGAUGGUAAAUGAAAUAGAAUUUAAAUAACAGGAAACAGAGAAGCUGGAGAACAGAGAAAAGAGGUUCUCUAGGAAUUAAAGAAUAAGAGAGCUGUGCUACCAAUCCAAAUGGAACAAUAUUCACAUUAAGGGUAUCAGAAGAAGAAGAGAGAGCAAAGGGAUAGAAAGUGUCUUUGAGGAAAUAAUUGUUGAAAACUUCCCCAAUCUGGGGAAGGCAAUAGUCACUCAGGACAUGGAAAUGCAGAGGUCUCCCAACACAAGUAACCUUAGGAAGACAACCCCAAGACAUAUAAUAAUUAAAAUGGCAAAGAUAAAGGACAAGGAGAGAGUGCUGAAAGCAGCCAGAGAGAGAAAAAAGAUAACCUAUAAAGGAAAACCCAUCAGGCUAUCAUCAGACUUCUCAGCAGAAACAUUACAGGCCAGAGGUGGUGGCAUGAUAUAUUUAUUGCAAUGAAACAGAUGGGCCUCCAACCAAGAAUAUUCUACCCAGCAAGAUUAUCAUUUAAAUUUCAAGCAGGGAUUAAACAACUUCCAAAUAAGUGAAAGUGGAAGGAAUUUGGCACAAUCAAACCAUUCCUACCAGAUAUCUUAAAGAGACUGCUCUGAAUUUCUAGAGAAAUGCUCCUAAGGUUAAAUAGCUGUCACCAGAGAAGAUAAAACCACAGUAAAGGUAGUAGACCAAUUAAUUACUAAGCAAAUACAAAAUUGAAUCAACUACUUACAAAGUUAGUCAAGGGAUACAUAAGGAGCACAGAGUAUGACACCUAAUAUAUAAAGAGUGGAGGAGGAAGAAGAAGAGGUGGGAAAAAAAACCCUUUAGAUUGUGUUUGAAAUAGCAUAACAGGCUAUUUCAGGUAGACUGUUAGAUAGUAAGGAAGCUAUCCUUGAACCUUUGGUUACCAUACAUCUAAAGCCUACAAUGGCAAUAAGUACAUAUCUAUCAAUAGUAACCCUAAAUGUAAAUGGACUGAACACACAAAUGAAAAGACAGAGUCACAAAAUAGAUUUUUUUAAAAAGACCCAACUAUAUGCUGCCUACAGGAGACUCAUUUCAAACACAAAGACAUAUACAGCCUAAAAGGGAAGGGAUGGAAAAAGAUAUUUCAUGGAAAUAAUAGGGAGAAAAAAGCAGAGGUAUCAGUACUUAUAUCAGACAAAAUAGAUCUCAAAACAAAGAAAAAAACAAGAGACAAAGAUGUUACAUAAUGAUAAAGGGGAUGGUUCAACAAGAGGAUAUAACCAUUAUAAAUAUAAAUAUCUAUACAACUAAUAUGGAAGCACAUAAAUAGGUGAAACAAAUACUAACAGAAAUAAAAGGGGGAAAUAGAAUGCAAUGCAUUCAUUUUAGGAGUCUUCAAUGCACCAUUCACUCCAAAGGACAGUCCAGACAGAAAAUAAGUAAGGAGAUAGAGGCACUGAACAACACAUUAAAACAGAUGGACCUAACAGACAUCUAUAGAAUAUUUCACCCAAAAACAGCAGGAUACACAUUCUUCUGAAGUGUACAUGGAAUGUUUUCCAGAAUAGAUCACAUACUAGGCCAGAAAAAAGAGCCUCAGUAAAUUCAAAAAGAUUGAAAUUGUACCAACCAGCUUCUCAGACCACAAAGGUGUGAAGCUAGAAAUAAAUUGUGCAAGAAAAAACCAAACGAAAAACAAAAAACCCCACAAACACAUGGAGGCUUAACAACAUGCUCCUUAAUAAUCAAUAGAUCAGUGACCAAAUAAAAACAGACAUCAAGUAAUACAUGGAGACAAAUGAAAACAACAACUCAACAGCCCACAACCUGUUGGAUGCAGCAAAGGCAGUUCUAAGAGGAAAAUAUACAGCAAUACAGGCUCAAGAAACAAGAACAAUCCCAAAUGAACAGUCUAAACUCACAAUUAAUGAAACUAGAAAGAGAACAAAUGAGGCCCAAAGUCAUUAGGAGGAAGGACAUAAUAAAGAUCAGAGUACAAAUAAAUAAAAUUGAGAAGAAUAAAACAAUAGAACCAAUCAAUGAAACCAGGAACUUGUUCUUUGAGAAAAUAAACAAAGUAGAUAAUCACCUAGCCAGAUGUAUCAAGAAAAAAGGGAGUGUACACACAUAAAAAGAAUCAGAAAUGAGAAAGGAAAAAUCACAACAGACACCACAGAAAUACAAAGAAUUAUUAGAGAAUACUAUGAAAAAUUAUAGGCCAAAAAAUUGGACAACCUAGAGGACAUGGACAACUUUCUAGAAAAAUACAACCUUCCAAGACUAACCAAGGAAGAAACAUAAAACAUGAACAGACCAAUUAUCAGCAAUGAAAUUGAAUUGGUAUCAGAAAACUACCUAAGAACAAAACAUCUUGGCCAGAUGGCUUCAUGGCUGAAUUUUAUUAAACAUUUAAAGAAGAGCUAAUACCCAUCCUCCUUUAGGUAUUCCAAAGAGGGAAUACUUACAAACUCAUUCUAUGACACAAGCAUCACUGUAAUACAACAACCAGACAGUCAAUACAAAAGAAGUAAAUUAUAAACUGAUAUCCCUGAUGAACAUAGAUGCAAAAAUCCUCAACAAAAUAUUAGCAAGCCAAAUACAAAAAUAAAUCAAGAAGAUCAUCUAUCAUGACCAAGUAGGAUUUAUUCCAGGGAUGCAAGGAUGGUAUAAUAUUAAAAAAUCAAUCAACAUCACACACCAUAUCAACAAAAAGAACAAAAAUCACAUGUUCAUCUCAGAUGCUGAAGAGGCAUUUGAUAAAAUUCAAUUUGAUAGAAACUCUCAACAAAAUGGGUAUAGAGGGCAAGUACCUCAAAAUAAUAAAAGCCAUAUAUGACAAACCCACAGCUAGCAACAUACUUAUCAGUGAAAAGCUGAAAGCUUUUCCUCUAAGUUUGGGAACAAGACAAGGAUGCCCACUCUCAUCACUUUUAUUCAACAUAGUACUGGAGGUCCUAGCCACAGCAAUCAGACAACACAAAGAGAUAAAAGGCAUCCAAAUGGGUAAGGAAGAAUUUAGCUCCCACUGUUUGCAGACAACAUGAUAUACAUAAAAGACCCUAAGGACUGUGCAAAAAAACUAUUAGAACUAAUAAGUGAAUUCGGCAAAGUUGCAGGAUACAAAAUUAAUACACAGAAAUCUAUUGCAUUCCUAUAUACUAACAAUUAGAUUGCGGAAAGGGAAAUCAGGAAAACAAAUCCAUUUACAAUUGCAUCAAAAAGAAUAUGCCUAGGAAUAAACCUAACCAAGGAGAUUAAAGACCUAUACACUGAAAACUACAAGACAUUCAUGAGAGAAAUUAAAGAAGGCACCAAUAAAUGGAAAUAUAUCCCAUGACAAUAUUAAUUAAUAGGAAGAAUUAAUAUUGUCAAAAUGGCCAUCCUGCACAAAGCAUUCUGCAGAUUUAAUGCAAUUGCUAUCAAAAUAUGAACACUAUUCUUCAACAAACUAGAAUAAAUAGUUCUAAAAUUCAUAUGAAAAUUAAAAAGGCCCCAAAUAGCUAAAGGAAUCCUGAAAAGGAAAAACAAAGCUGGGGGGAUUAUGCUCCCUAACUUCAAGCUCUACUACAAAGCCACAGUAAUCAGGACAAACUGGCACAAGAAGAGACCCAUAGAUCAGUGGAACAGAGUAAGAGCCCAGAUAUUAACCCACACAUAUAUGGCUAAUCAAUGUAUGAUAAAGGUGCCAUGGAUAUACAGUGGGGAAAAGACAGCCUCUUCAUCAACUGGUGCUGGCAAAACUGGACAGCUAUAUUUAAGAGAAUGAAACUGGAUGUCUAAUUCCAUACAGAAAAAUAAACUAGAAAUGGUUUAAACACCUGAAUGUAAGUCAUGAAACCAUAAAAACUCGUAGAAGAAAACAUAGGCAAAAAUCUCUUGAAUAUAAACAUGAGCAACUCUUCCUGAGCACAUCUGCUCAGGCAAUGGAAACAAAAUAAAAAGUGAGCAAGUGGGAUUACAUCAAACUAAAAAGCUUCUAUACAGCAAAGGACACCAUCAGCAGAACGAAAAGGCAUCCUAAAGGAAGAAUAUAUUCAUAAAUGACUUACCCAAUAACAGAUUAACAUCCAAAAUAAAUAUAUAAAGAACUCACAUGUCUCAAACCCAAAUAGCAAAUAACCAGAUUAAAAAAUGGGUGGAGGACCUAAACAGACACUUCUCCAAAGAAGAAAUUUGGAUGGCCAACAGUCACAUGAAAAGAUGCUCCACAUCACUAAUCAUUCGGGAAAUGCAAAUUAAAACCACAGUGAGAUAUCACCUCACACCAGUUAGGAUGGCCAAGAUUGAAAAGACAAGAAACAAAUGCUGGUGAGGAUGCAGAGGAAAAGGAACCCUCCUACACUUUUGUGGGAAUGUAAAUUGUUUCAACUGUUGUGGAAAGCAAUAUGGAAGUUUCUCAAUGAACUAAAAAUAGAAAUACCAUUUGACCCAGUAAUUCCACUCCUAGGAAUUUGCCCAAAGAAAACAAGAUCCCCAAUUCAAAAUGACUUAUGCACCUCUAUGUUUUUGACAGCACUAUUUACACUAGUGAAGAUAUGGAAGCAACCAUUAAGUGUCCAUCAAGAGAUGACUGCAUAAAGAAGAUGUGAUUGUCACUGGAAUCCUGAGCAAUCUUUCACUCUUAUUCCAUUAUGUGCCCUUUACUUACUGAUGCAGUUCAGUCCAUAGAUUGUAUUCCCUGGCACCUGUCUGGACCAAAUUGUUGGUCUUCCUCCUCAGCGGAAUCCCAGCAACAGUGGCAGCUUUUGGGUUGAAGCAGUUCCCCAGGGAUUCAGGGUGCACACUUGUUUUGGGGUUCUCCAUGUGGACAAGGGUGUGUCCUUUGGCCCCACAUGCCUUUCAAGAGUCUUCCUGGCCAUCAUGAUCAACCCAGCCAACUACAGAUGAUUGGAGAUUAGAGUCAAAACCCCCAAAUACAGGGACCUUCCAAUAUCCUGUGCAGGAUCCUGCUUUUGCCGGGAAACCUCAUUUUCCCUGUGAUGUGACUGGCAGACGGAAAACACACAAACAUGACAAAGAAAAGAGGUUUUGGACACUGUCUGGCUUCGUUUCCUCAGGAAGUCUUAAACUUACUAUUCGCAUUGCUGAAAUCCAUCCGUGUGGGGCUCAUGCUCUGGGCCAGCAGCUCAGUGGUCUUCCUCCUGCACAGGCACCAGCAGAGCGUCCAGCGCGUCCACAGGACAGGUGCCUGCCCCACAUCCUCCCCGGGACGAGAGCUCCCAAACCGUCCUCGGCCCGUGAGCACCGCCCUUUGUUUACCGUGUUCUCCUCCAUCAUCCAAGUUUGUCCGGCUGUU